AAAUCUACUACUUAUCAGCUAAGAUCAAGUAUAGUAUUUGUUUUUAUCAAUGUCCUAUCUGAUAUGUCCUCUAUCUAUGAACCAUGUAGUAAAUAAAAUUUAUGGCACAGGGAGAUGGAAUGGGAGCCUGCUCCAUCGACUCUGUCGACCUGGUAUUACAGUUCCUCCAGGAAUGGCGCAACAAUU
ensembl:snRNA U2 U2 spliceosomal RNA